UACCUCAAAUAACCACAACAGUCUGUUUCAUCCGUAUCCCUGAUGAUUCCUAUACGGAUGAAACAGACUGUUGUGGUUAUU